rnacentral:rRNA from 1 species
GAUGAACGCUAGCGGCAGGCCUAAUACAUGCAAGUCGAACGAUAGAUAGAAGCUUGCUUUUAUCGAAAGUGGCGCACGGGUGCGUAACGCGUAUGCAACCUACCUUAAUCAGGGGGAUAGCCUCUCGAAAGAGAGAUUAACACCGCAUAAUAUUAUUGAAUGGCAUCAUUUAAUAAUCAAAUAUUUAUAGGAUUAAGAUGGGCAUGCGUGACAUUAGCUAGUUGGUGAGGUAAUGGCUCACCAAGGCCACGAUGUCUAGGGGA